rnacentral:lncRNA from 1 species
GAAAUUCUCAAGGUAUCUAAUCUGAUAGCAAAUACUCUUCUUUUAAUGCUUUCUAACUUACCAAUGAAGAAAAGCAGCUGCUCGUGGAAAUGUUCAAAUCUAACAGGUUUAUUAAUGGGCCUACUAUGACCUGAUAGAGGGGCUAUCAUUUUGAUAAUCAAAUAAACACAAGUUUCAGCUCUUACAUUCUGAGGGAAAUUUCCAUCAGAUCAUUUCCAGUCCUUUCUCAGGCACUGACUUUUACAUCACCAUGUGUCACUGAGACAUAAUCGUUAAAUUUAGUGUGUCACCUAGUACGUGCUAUUUAUUGGUUACACAUCUGAUAGUUCUUGCUCUAGGGAAUAUUUAAUUCCUCAAAUUCACAGCCAAAAAGCCUCCUACUUUGCCAAUAGGACUCUGACUUUUUUUUUCUUGGGAAACAACCCAACUUUGUGUAACAGAAUGAUUUUCCUCCCAACUUUGAGCAAGACUCCCAGACAAUGUAAUCUCUGUUUGUUACUUAGCAGCACCAAGGUCAGCAUCCCAAGUGCCUGGGUAUUCAGGCUUUUGUUUCUGUUGGGUGGCUUGAAGGGGAUGUUGAAAUGUGGUGUUUUGUUCAGAGAUUGUGUUAACACUUUUCACUAAUUAAGGUCUAAGAGCUUGAAAUCCUUGCAUUUCAAUUCAUCUGGUGGAAAGGAAACUCAAGACAUGGGCCGUCUGUUCUUAACCUCUAUCGAGGGCUCUCUCUCAAGAAGUAGCACUGGAUAUGGUGCAGACGAAUUUGGGUUUGGUGUGCUGUCUCUGGUUUUAGGGAUGCCCCACAUUGGUCCUUUCACUUAUACAGAGGAACAUGGUUUCUUAGUUAUUGAGAAGCCAGAAAACAGCCCUGGUGUGUCUGCCUGAAUGAGAAGGGCUGGGGAACUAAAGAGAAUGGGAUCCCUGGGGUUGCUGAGGCUGCCAAGGACCUGGACAUCCAAAACAAGAUGGAUUUCUACACAGAGUUGCUAAAGAUACCAUAAAGAACCAAGAAGGAAUAAGAAGGGGAAGGUAGAGGUCAGAGAUGUACGCAGGAUCUGGCCAGAAAGAGGCUUCUGGGUGGGGCUGGAAGAUGCAGGGGCUUAGAAAAAGCAGGGGCGGCCGGGUGCGGUGGCUCACGCCUGUAAUCCCAGCACUUUGGGAGGCCGAGGCAGGCGGAUCACAAGGUCAAGAGAUCAGGACCAUUCUAGCCAACAUGGUGAAACCCCAUCUCUACUAAAAAUACAAAAAUUAGCUGGGCAUGGUGGCAUGCACCUGUAGUUCCAGCUACUCAGGAGGCUGAGGAAGGAGAAUCGCUUGAACCUGGGAGGUGGAGGUUGCAGUGAGCCAAGAUCCUCCACUGCACUCCAGCCUGGCGACGGAGUGAGUGAGACUCCAUCUUAAAAAAAAAAAAAAAAAAAAAAAAGGAAAAAGAAAAAAAGAAAAGGCAGGGGCUUAGAAAAAGCACUAGAAGGGGACUGAAUGAGGACCAGGACUGCCUGAGUUAUAGCAGAUGCCUGCUAUGCAAGGACUAAUGCAUGGGCCAGGGGGACAGCCCUAGCAAAGUGUCUGGGCACAGUUCUAUGUAUCUAGGUGAUUCCCAUCCCCAAGUGGUCUGGAUUGAUGAGAUUCUGUAUACAUGAAAUAUGAAAUGGGGGUGCUGACCAACUAGUCCAUAUUUCCAACUACAGGACUGGCUGACAGCAGGUGAGAAAUAACAAGCACUGAAAGGCCAAGAGAAAUGUCAUAUACGAGAACCUAUUACCAAGUUGUCAAGGCUCUUCUGAUCUAAGGAUUUUUGACAACAGAUGGCUAACCAUUACUCAGAUAGGUGUUUUGAGACAGGAGACUGAAGGAAUUACUAUUCAAGGCCUUUCCCUUGUGAGUCUACAGACUAUGAAAAUAACAUCUAAAUCACUUCAUUUAAAAAAUAUUCAGUUGUAUCUUUUCAUACAACAACAAACUCUUCUUGAUUCCACUCUCCUUUUAAUUUUAACAAAACAUAAAAUCACAGCUCAUCUGGAAAGUAUGUCAUCAGAAAGGAUGCAACGCAUAUGCCCAAGGUUCAGGACUGCCUUUGCCAAUGACAGUGACAAAUGAAGUGAAUACUGCAUGAGCGUCACACUGUUGGGGGAGGCAAAGGAGAUGCCAGCCUGUACCUACUGUUCCACUGAAGAAAGACCAUAAACACAAGGAUAUAGAUUUAGUGAUCAAAGUUUCAAACAUUGCUCAGUGGAAGGCCUGGAAAACCAUGUGGGGCUUACCACAUGGAAAAAAGAUAGUAGCUGCAACUCAUACAUGUUUACUUGCUGCUUUCCACACUGUAGUCAGUCAGCAAAUAUUUAUGGAAAUGAAUGAACAUAUGAAAACUAUAGCCAUCACAGAGGUGUACUAUAAACCAAUGUCAUGUUUUUGUAAAGGCCGGAAUGAAAGAACCACCUGGAAUCCGACUCAUGGUGCUAAUGCUGAACUUAUUUGGCACAAGUUAUUUAGAUUCAAAAAGGCCACCCCAAGAGCACUCUCUUUCAGUUUGAGCAGAACUCCUGAAAAUCAUACUAGCUACCUUUCAUUGUGUUCUUAUUAUGAGCAGGAUAUUGGGAUAAAGAACACUGGUUUCUCUCAUUUAAUUCCAACAGCAGUCUGGUGGCUCAGGAGCUAUUAGGAUUUUUUUUGGAUCGAUAAGGAGACUGAGGGUCAAAGAGGUGACGUCACUUGCCCAGGGUCAUAGCACCAGGAAGCAGGAGAGUUAGGCUUUACAUACAGCAUGGCUGGUCACUCUGGCUCAUGACUUUAAUUCCGGAAUUUUGGGAGGCAGAGGUGGGAGGAUCACUUGAACCCAGGAGUUUGAGACCUGCCUGGGCAACAUGACAAGACCCCAUCUCUACAAAAAAAAAAAAAAGAAAAAAGAAAAAGAAAAAUUAGCUGGGCAUGGUGAUGCACAGCUGUUGUUCCAACUGCUUGGGCAACUGAGUUAGGAGCAUUGAUUGAGCCUAGGGGUUUGGGGUUAGUGAGCUAUGACUGUGCUACUGCACUCCAGCCUGGUUGACAGGGCAAGACACACACACACACCGCCCCCCUCCCCACACACACCCCCCAAACACUUUAAUCCUUAAGCUACACUGGAAAAAUGGCCUGGUUAAGACAACCAGUUGCUCACCUCUACUUACCCAUGGCAACAACAGAAAGCAAGGACCUCAGGAAAUGUCUCUUAAGACUUUUAGAGUUGCCUGAUUCCUCAGUCUCCCACGAAGAGAGUAGCUACGCAAUGUUAAUAGCUCUGACUUUAAUGCCUUUUCUCACAACACCUUUAGUGCCUGUGAAGAAAGACACUACAAAAAGCAAACAUACAAUGCCAUAAAUAAAGGGCCACAUUUCCCCUUGACUGAAGCUACCCUACUUUUCUCUUGGACAUUUUUCAGGGUUUAUUAACUCGUUGAGGCCUGCCAGAUGCCACAUAGUAAAUUACUAUUUCCAUUGACGGGUGAAUGCUCUUUACAUGGUCAAGAAGGGAAGGCUGCAGGUUGUAAAUUUUGGCCCCCUGGCAAUUCACCAAGGAAAAAUCUCUUGAAUGCUCAAUCUGCAGGGCAUCUCAAAGAUUAUUCUGUCCAUCUAUUUAUUUUACAAAGUCAAGACUAGAGAAAAGGAGAGAUGUUGUGCCCAAGGUCACACAGCAGGGAAGGAGAAAAUGCAGGCUGAAGAAGCUUCUGUCCCUAGCACAGAAUGCUAUUUGGCUCCAGUCGCAAUGGGGGCUUGGGGCUAGGUUAUGGUGUUGUUCAAAAACCACAGCUAACCACGCACUCUGAUUCUUUCUCACCCCCAAGCAAGAGUGUAACAACCUCUUGUUCCAAAGCACCAGCGAAGAGCAAAUUCCAAGGGGUGCUUGGGUGCUGCCAACACAGGAAAUGGCAGCUGGGGUGGUGGGGAGGGUGCUUGUCUUCAUUUUGCUCUAAAAUGUUGCAAAGGUUUGAGAGUCAGACAGGCCUGGGCUGGAAUCCUACCCUACCUGUCAUUUUACCAAGGUGCCACUAGGGGCAAGUGACUUCACCUCUCUCAGCUCAGAUUUGUUCUCUGUAAGAUGGGAGAAUAGUAGUAUCUGUACCCAAUAUCACUGUGUUACAAUUAAAUGAGACAAUGCAUGCAAAGCUCUUUGUGUUUCAGCCAGACAGCAUACAAAUGGUACAUUUUUUUUUGCAUCAUUACUACUAUUAUUUCUAUUCAGUGGACCCUUUCAGAAUAUCUCUUAACACGAAGUUUAAAAGGUGAGUUUAAAAAAAUUUUGUUAACUAAUGGAGUCUAACAUUCUAACAGAGGCAUUGAUAGGUAAAGGUAGGACUUUGGCAAGAUCUCAUCCCUGUGAAUGGGCAAAGUGCUUUUCUUUCCAAAGGUCCCAGAGAAAUCAAUCCACAGAGCAGUUAUAUACGUUGAAGAUUCCUUCUGUAGUGCCCUUUUCUCUCUUAGAGACUAUUACUUACCAGUAUUGUCUCUUCUCACCAGAGUAAUGAGAGGAAAGAUGCUAUAUCUGAAUGCCACAUCCUUUUCUACUCCAUCAUUCCCUGCUUACACUUAGGUUUUCUCAAGAACUCCUGCGUUUCUCCCUUGUCUUUUGUUAUGCCAUUUCUUUAAAUGUCCUGAGCCACAGAAGCAGCGUCAAUGAUAACCAUUACAGAAUCCACAGUCACUCACUUCCCUGCCACGCCCUGAUCUGCUGUGAGAGUUGUCACAGUCCUUUGUCAAAAAACAUAUCUCCUUAUUGGCAAUGAACUCACUUAGGGGAGGUUUUACAGGCUUCUCACAAAACAAGAAUGGCUCUGAACAGUGGCAGCGACAACCAAAAUAUUGAGGAAAAAUGGAGAGAAAGCUUUACCAGGAAACAAGGGCUGUGACUUCAGGGCGUAAAGCCAGUGUUGACAAGGCCUGCCUGAUGGCUGUUUAUGUCUGGGACCACCCUGGCACUUAUUACCAUGAAAAGGAGCUGACAGCGCCUGAGAUUGGCAGGGAACACCAAGGAAGAAAGCGGAUGUGGGAGUCACGGUCAUCCCAGCCGGAUGGGGCAUUAGGCCAUCCUCCCAUCCCCACUGCCCCCCAACACUCCAGCCUUUGCAAUGCUACAAAGGUCUAAGAAAAGGAACCAAGAUUCACAUGUCAACUCUUGGAGCACAGUCGAAGGCUGCUGUCAAUAUGAGAACCAAGUAGGUGGCCCUGCAUAUGCUUAGUAAAGGAGAUGGCAGGGCCAGGCAAAUAAAGGGAGACAACGAGGGGCUCACAUCUUCCACUCCCACCCCAUCGCCCCCAGGAAUAUGGGGGACAGGGCUCUCCAGUUCCCCAACCUUCGAUCUCACAAUGUAACAACUUCAUAUUAGAGGGGAAAAUAAAUUUUAACAUUAAAUAUAGCAGUAUAUGAAAUUAGUUAUGCAAGCUAUGAAACCCAAAUUAGGGCUCUUUUUGCUCUGCAAGAGUGGAAAUAUUUUACCGUUGUCUUCCCCAUCAAGAAAGAAACAAAAACCAAGGAAAUCUGCAAAUGUAGCACCUGGUGAAUUCUAUCGUGGCUAUAUCCAGGGGUACCCUGGGGAACUGAUGACAAUAAUCACCAGGCAGUGUUACCCCUCAUGUGGGUAACAGGGCUCUAUUACCCUGUUGAUUCCUUAUUCCCAAACACACUGCCUGUUUUUGUAGGACUUCUUUUCCCUUUCAAGGUUUACCUGGUGAUUAUUUGUAACCUGACAUCAGCAGAAUAAUGAUGUUCACAUUUUUCAGGAAAGAGGCGAAGAUAAUACAAGGACCCACUCUAUGCCUGCCAUGGGAUUAUUUAUGAAAGCUGUCUGGAAGACAGGGAGGGCGGUGGGUGAGAAAUUUGUUCCAGAGAUUCACAGUCUGGUGAGACAAGUUUGAGAUCUCAUAUUUUCAGCUCAUCCUUGAAAACCUUUCUUCGAUUUGACUGACCUUGAUGGCUCCCUGGAAUCUCACCUACAUUUUAUGGGAAAUUCAACUCUCCAGAGAGAAGAGCUUUCAGAUAGCUACGGGACUUGCAACUAUGACUUUCAGCUUUCGCUUUUGAAUGAGGCUCCAAAUGUCUCAAUGGUGGCACUAUUUCCAGAUUUGGGGUAAGCCAAUUCUUUGUUGUUGGGGUUGUGCUGUGCAUUGUAGACUAUUAAGCAGCAUUCCUGGCCUCUACCCACUAGAUGCCCAGAGCACCUGCAUCCCCAUCGUAACAACCAAAACUGUCUCCAGACAUUGCCAAAUGUCCACCGCAGGCUAAAAUCACCUCCCAAUUGAGAACUAUUGAAUUAUACUAAGGUUCUCAGAAAGUCCUUCAGCAAGUUCUCAAAACUGAAUUGAUUCAAAUUGACUUGGUGAGGUCAGGGCACACAGAGAUUCUUUGUUGAUGGGAGUUGUAAAGGGCCUGCUGAACAUCUGCUCAAUGAAGUCAGGGGCUCCAGCUAAAAGGGUUGGGAAGCCCCCAUCUAUAGAAAACGUGCCGUGUACAACGUGAAAUCAAUUCCCAUGCACAACAAUGAAGAUCCCAAUUACAAUGAACAAACACGUUCUUCUGAACAGCACUUCCUCCCUGACAUUAUGUCCAUGACCCUGCACCCUGCGGGGGGCUCGGAUAUGUUACGUCUGAUUCAAAGACAACCAAAAAGAAGGAAAUAAUGAUUUCACCAAGAAAGGACACAUACCAAGGCAGGAAUAGAGCCCUGCAAAGCUAAUCUGCUCAACCUUCACCUACUGGGUUCAAUGAAUAUGAAAAGCUGCCUUCCUGAAACUUUUCCUUCAAAGAGGGAAUGAUCUCCUGGAAUUCAAGCUUCUACAGGGUGGCUACCUGGUGUUUUCCACUUUUGCCGUCUCCUAAAAAGCAUCAAUCAAGCCUUGCCCUUUCAACCCACUGAACACAUAAACAUGCUUUCUCCUUAACUGAACUUAUGGCCACGAUGAACUUGAACUCUGAGAUUCACAGAGGAGAGUUUGUUUUAACAGCUGCUUUUACAAUGAAGCCCUGGAGUUACUACUCUCAAGACCCCUGGUUCUGAUAGGCCAUCUUUUCACUGUCCUCUGCAUUUUCUAAUGCCCAGCUGUCAAGGAACACCCACUGAAGUUUUCCAAAACAAAGGCACGAAACACAAGAAAGGCAAGAGAAUGCUAAUCACCAGAGGCAUGGGCAUCCUAUGGGGGAACCCCUUACAUGUGGAAUACGGUUUUUCUCCCCAAUUUAUUUUUAUAAAUUUAUUGAUUUCUUUGCCAGUUUGUUAUUAAUUGUUAGAGAUGUCCUGUUGCCUGAGGUUGCCCUGUCCGAUAUGGUAGCCACCAGCGACAGGUAGCUAUUUAGAGUAAUUAAAAAAUUACAUUAAAAAUGCAGUUUCCUUGUCACUUAACCAUGUUUCAAGUGCUCAGUAUUAACCACAUGUGACUAGUGGCUUCCAUAAAGGAAGGCAAAAAUAGAGAACAUUUACAUCGCUGCAGAAAGCUACCAGAUUCUUUUGGCCAAGGCAUAAGCUCUUUCUCAUAAGAGAAAGGGGAUGCAGAUCUUGCUAAGAGUGAUGGAUUUCUGGGUUCAGCCUACAUGAGUCAUCUUCCAUACUACCCCUGGACAUGCUUUCCUUGGCUGCCAAUUUUCUAUUUUAUAAAUUUCAGGAAAGAGAGAUUAUGGUUGUUAAAACCAUUCAUGACACUGAUCCCACUUUAGAGAAAACAACAGCAACAAGCAAAGAAGAUGGUGUGGAGAUCCGCACAUUCCACAUCUUUUAAUUGGUACCCAUUAAAUAACAAAGGGAAAAAGUACCCUCAGACCACAACUCUCCACCUUGUGUGGAGGCCAAGGACCCAGCAGGGAGAAGGCAGAAGAUUAGGUUCUCCACUCAUCCUGGCUCUCAGACCACUGAGCUCACAUUUGGGUUCUAAUGGAAUGGUGAUUGGAAGCAUAUUCUCCAAUAGGAGGUUUUUAAAAGUUCUGUGCCAUCAGCCAGGCAGCAUCUGUCAUUUAAAAUGACUGGCCAGUUGCACAUUUAAAAGCAAAGAUAAAAUUGCUAAUUUAUACUUACUGAAUAAACAUCAGCAGUAUCCAUGAAGGUACCUACCCUAAUAGCAAGUUGUAUUUUUAUUUUUAUGGUGGUGGCGAAGCUGCCAGGAAAACCAAAGCAUCAGUUCUUUAAUUACAUUUGUUUAGUAUUGAUUUAAUACUAAAAUUUCUCUUGCUCCCUUAGAACAAAGAGCUCUAACUUGUACACUGCUGUAUCCUUAGCACCUGGAACAGUCCCUGGCCUACAGUAGGCACUUAGAAAGUAUUUGUUAAAAAUUGAUUUUUUUUUUUAAAGAAACAACCCAGAGUUUUUUUAUUCUGCCCCAACCCCCAACCCCUGGCAUUAAAAUAAAUCUUCCUCAACUGCCAUCACUAAUCGCCAGGAUUCCCUCCUAGCCAAUUAUGCUUGGACUCAACCUCUACCUCCCACUCCACAUUCCAAAGUUUCUAUUUCUUUCCAUUCCAGAAGGGCAACUCCACAACAGGAGUGAGGGAGAGGACCUGGACUCCUCCUCAGAGUCCAAUAACACUCCUAACCCUGCUCCCCCAACCUGUGGACUUUUUAAAUCCAUGAAAAUAGAAACUGUCAAGCUACCACAAAAUAGCAUCAGAAGGCAGGAUCAGUCUUUCAUAGGCAUACAAUCUCUGUAAAUACUGAAAAAAGAUUAUUAAAAGCCUGCUAAGUUUUGUCUCCAGUGAAAUAGAUGCAGGCAAGUAUUUUGAUUGUUCUGAACACAUUAGAGAUGAGUGCUACACAGAACUAAGGUAAACUUUGUAAAUUCAUAUGUCAUAACACUUUGUUCCACAAAAAACUAUCUUAUUUUUUAUACUCCAUACUGAUACAGCCAAAUAAUGUGGCUCUUAUUUUCUAAAGAUGCCAGCAAUAUGUUUAAACAUGUCUUCAUUGUAGUAAAAGUAUCAUAUUUAUAAAAAAUACAUAUGCAUUUAAUGUGAUAUUCCUUAUAGUCAAAAUCUUGAUAUCAUCCUCCUAAUCUGGCUAGGAAUGUAUCUGCAAAAUGAAAGAGAGGAAUAUUUUGCCAUUCCCUAAACAACAGUUGUUUGAAGCUUUUGUAAUUGCUGGUUAUGGGAAUUUACCAAUAACAGGAAUGAAUUUGGAUUUUCUUUUGCUGGAAUCAAAUGGACAAUGUCAUAAUUAGCUAAAUAAUGUUGAGGCUAAAUGAAGUUUGAGUUUUAGGCACAUCCUUUAUGGAAUAUAAACAGGAACCUAAAAGUUCAUUCUGAACAUAGGGUGUUUCUUUCUGCCAAAACAAGAUUAAUAGUCAGUACCCUAACGACGAGGUCCUAUCACUGAAGUAGAUUAUCGGCUAGUCAAAUGGGUUCCUAACAGCACCUCCCUCAUGGGUUAAAAGAAGAGGGUUAAUGUGAUGUGUAUUUGCUUAAUUUGGCUUGUUAUACAGUAAACACACAGCAAACGUUAGCUAUUGUUAUCUUCAUUUCCUUUGGAGAAGUUAUCUUAUUUCUCACCUUAUUAAAAAUAAACCCUAACUCAUACAGGGACCCUCCUUACCUUGGUCCUUUCACCCAUGAAUACCAUAAUAACCUAUACUGCAAAAAGGAGGCUCAGGAGGAGGAUGAGGUAUCAAUAGGCCUCCGGGUCAUUUUUAGGAUUUAGGUAUUUUUUGAAAAGGGUAGGCUCUCUUGAAACUUCCAAGGUAGUUGUUGUAGUAUUUUAUUUUCCUUUAAUAAGAAAUGCUUUCUGAAAUGUAUUGCAGUGAACAAAUAACAAAAUUGACAAAUGCUGUAAGCCUUUUGCAGUUAUCUGAACACAAAGAAUAAAGUGUAAUC